GUUAUAUAUAUAUACAUAUAUAUAUAUAUAUAAAAUAUAUAUAUAUAUAUAAAAAAAGCAACAAAAUAACGGAAUUAAAUUCAAAUCACAUCGCUGAUAAUAAGUUGAAAAAUAUCUGUAUUAUACAAUUGACUAGACGUAAUUAUUACUAUCAUUAUUAUUAUUAUUAUUAUUAUUAUUAUUAUUAUUAUUAUUAUUAUUACUAUUAUUAGUAAUAUUAGUACAUCCGUUGUUGGUCAUUAUUAUUAUUACUAUUAUUGAUUAAUCGCGUCGAUCAAUCAAUCGUCUGAUGAUUAAAAAUGGUACAACCCGUACAUCUCAAAAUUAUAGUUUGAAUAAUUCUGACCCCAUGCUGUGUUGCGUUAUUUCAUAGUUAUAUAUGAAAAUAAAUAAAUCUGAAAAAAAAGUAAAUAAAUAAAUAAAUAAACAAACAAUUAGGAAAACAGAAAAUAAAACGAAAAACGGGUAAAAUGACUGAGACGAGGACGGGAAGUGAAGAAAAAAAAAAUAAAUCGAGGCAAGAAUUACGAAAUCGUCGAAAUCGUGUUUUCUAUUAUUCCAACAUUUUUAACGUGAAUUGUAACACUUGAUCAGUAAUCACGGAUAUAUCACUUUACCUCAUUACAACAUAUAAUCGGUGCGGACCGAUGCGGAUGUGAUAUGCGAGCGAAUUAUGCAUCUUUUUGAUUUGAGUGUUGAAAAAAGAGAGAAAGAACGAAAAAAAAAAAAAAAAACAACCGAUUCAUUCUCCGCGCGUAAAUAACGUAUAAAUUUAUUACUAAUAAUUAUUAUCAUCAUUUUCACAAACAAACACACACGCGCGCACGCAUACAGACACAUUUUCCAUACGCAUACAUGUGCGGUACGUUUUUUAUUCGGAUUCCUGUAUAUAUACGCAUACUUGCAAACUUGCAAACACAUUAAUACACAUACUGGGCAUUAAAAAUUAUAAAUUAUAAAUAUACAUAUAUAUAGGUAUUAUUAAAUAUCCUUGUAGAUUGAAAUGAAAGGAUAUGUGGUGCAUGAAACGAAUACCGCAAUCGCAGCCCCGCUCGCAUUCUCAUUCCUCGUCAUUUUUUAAAUAAAUAAAUAUAUAUAUAUAUAUAUAUAUAUAUAUAUGUAUAUGUUUAUACACACUCGUCACACAUAUAUAUCUAUAUUCAUGUACUCGUAGGAUAAUAAUAAUAAUAAUACACUAAUCGCUAACGGUACGAUGGAACGAAAACGAAGGGAGUAAAAAUAGAAUGAAAAUUAAAAAAAAAAGAAAAAAAAAACGAUCGGAAUAAUAAAUAAAAAUUAUAAUAACGAUGCCAUUUUUUUUUUUUUUUUUUUUUUUUUUCUUUUUUUACCCAGAGAGAGAUCAAAAAGGAAACAAAGACGCGGUUGUCUGAAAAUUUUGAACCAGGUCGCACUGGCAGGAAGGUGGAACUUUCUUUUCAGAAUCGAGUAAAAGAAAGAAUACGAAAAUGAACUCACGACUCGUAAACGUUUUACGAAGAAAUAAUUUUCUCCCACAUCUCUUCGACACGUUCUCUGCAGAUUAUUUAUCUCAGCGUUACGAAUUUUUUAUUCUUUGCCAUUCUGUGUACCCUUAAUUUUUUUUUUUUUUUUUUUCUCUCCGCUCUCACUUCAGAUCGAUAUAACGUAUACGGUAUAAUUAUUAUACAAAUUUACACAUACCGUAUGUAUGUAUGAAUAUGAAUUUAAUGAGAACGUUUGAAAUUGAGCAUAUAGUUUCGAGGUUUGCAAAAAGAGAGGAAAAAAGAGAAUAGAAAAAAAAAAAAAAAUAAUAAUAAUGAUCGUGUAACUGGGUGAUUUCAGUCGUUGUAAUACUGCUAUAUAAAAUAUAAGUCUGUGUACUGUGUAUAAUGAAUUAAGAACUAGAUAUAUAUAUAUAUACGAUAAAUAGACUCUUCUGUACAUAGUUAGUUAGUAAGGCGUUAGGAAUUUAUUAAAUAUCUUAACUGAUUAUUAUAAUUACAAUUAUCACUACUAUUACGAGUAAGAUUAUUAUUAUUAUUAUUAUUAUUGUUGUUGUUGUUGUUCUUGUUAUUAUUAUUAUUAUUAUCAUUAUUAUUAUUACUAUUAUUAUUUCUAAUUUUAAUUGUAUUUUUUUUUUUUUUUAUAUAAGCUGCUCGCGUCCUAUUCGCAUUUAUUGAUUCAGGGCUGGUCCUAAUGGAUCUGUUAGAGAUUCAGGAUUUUUUUCCUGCGUACACGAAUAUCGCAAAUUCAUGUUGCUAGUUAUAAUCGAUAUCGAAGAGAGAAAAAAAAAAAAAAAAAAUGACGAUGAAAAGAAAGAAAGAAAGAAAAAAAAAAAAAAAACAGUCAUCGUGUGGUUAUUAAAAUUUGAUCCUCCUAAAUCGGAUGUAAUCCUAUAUCAAUGUUCAUUGUACUUCAGUGUAUUGAAGGUUCCGUUCGUAGGGAAUUCCAUAAUAAGACUUGCGUCCAAGUUUUUUCAUCUCCUUAUACUCGAUUCGUUCCUUUGCGUAAUUUUACACACGAAACAAUCUAGCAACACGGAAUUGUGGUCGAAUAUAUUGGCCAAAGCGCGUCCUAUAUAUAUACGUUUCUUUUUUUCUUUUUUUUUUUACGCAUUUCGUUUAUUAUUUAUAAAGAAAAUGGAAAAAGUAAGUAAAACAGAAAAAAAAAAAUAAUAAUAAUAAAUAAAUAAAUAAAUAAUGAAAAAAAAGAACAUUAGGUGAAAAAUAAAAAUUAAUAAAUAGAAAACAGUAAUCCUAUACGCGACCAUAUCAUUCAGAGGAGCACGUUGUAGAAAAAGAGAUGAGGAGAAAGAGCGAGUAAAUAGUGCCAAAGUGAUUCAAAUUUUGUGUAGAUAAUUGUAUAAUUCCUCGAACCCACCACGAUAGUUUGAUUUGACUGUGUAUAUUUUUUUUUUUUUUCUAUUUAUUUUUUUUUCUCUCCUUCUCUCGUCAAAACACCAUUUAUAUUUACGUAGCCGGAAGUUCCAUCCUCAUUAUUCAUGUUACGAUCGACUUUCCGUCUCUUUUUUUUAAUUGCAAACUUCUCGGUAGGUAUAGAGAAACAUACUUAUAUCAAAGAACGACGUGAAACUAGCGAAGAUGAGAAUAUUUGUAUAUCAUUCAACGGUGUUGUUUUUGUCGUGAACGACACGAAGGAUUAAAAAAAAAAAGAUUUCCGAAAGGAAUACGGGAUACGGAACAUUCUCUUCGAAGUUCUUAUGGAUCUAUCAUGAUAAUGUUGCGUUGG